rnacentral:rRNA from 1 species
UAAAACGUAGGAGGCGAGCGUUAUCCGGAUUUACUGGGCGUAAAGCGUGUGCAGGCGGUUUGGUGAGUUGGAUGUGAAAGCUCCUGGCUUAACUGGGAGAGGUCGUUCAAUACUGCCAGACUUGAGGAUGGGAGAGGAAGGUGGAAUUCCGAGUGUAGUGGUGAAAUGCGUAGAUAUUCGGAGGAACACCAGUGGCGAAAGCGGCCUUCUGGCCCAUCUCUGACGCUCAUACACGAAAGCUAGGGUAGCAAACGGGAUUAGAGACCCCGGUAGUCCUAGCUGUAAACGAUGUGGACUUGGCGUCGGCGGGUUUAAAUCCGUCGGUGCCGGAGCUAACGCGUUAAGUCCACCGCCUGGGGACUACGGCCGCAAGGUUAAAACUCAAAUGAAUUGACGG